rnacentral:rRNA from 1 species
CCUACGGGAGGCAGCAGUGGGGAAUAUUGGGCAAUGGGCGCAAGCCUGACCCAGCAACGCCGCGUGGAGGAAGAAGGCUUUCGGGGUGGAAACUUCUUUUUUCAGGGGAGAGUAGAAGACGGUACCUGACGAAUAAGCCACGGCUAACUACGUGCCGGCAGCCGCGGUAAUACGUAGGUGGCAAGCGUUGUACGGAUUUACUGGGUGUAAAGGGCGUGUAGCCGGGUUCACAAGUCAGAUGUGAAAUCCUGCGGCUUAACCGCAGAACUGCAUUUGAAACUGUUGAUCUUGAGUACUGGAGAGGCAGACGGAAUUCGUAGUGUAGCGGUGAAAUGCGUAGAUAUUAGGAGGAACACCAGUGGCGAAGGCGGUCUGCUGGACAGCAACUGACGGUGAGGCGCGAAAGCGUGGGGAGCAAACAGGAUUAGAUACCCGAGUAGUC